UCUCCUCCAGCACCCCGGACUCUCCCUGCACCGCACCCGACUCUCUUUCUCCGCACCCCAGCUCUCCCACCCUGACUCCCUUCCCCCACUCCGGACCAUCUGCCCCCCCACCUCACCCCCGGCGCUCCGGACUGUACCCCUGCACCCCGAGUCUCUCCUCCAGCACCCCAGCUCUCCCCGCACCGCACCCGACUCCUCCCCGCACCCCAGCUCUCCCACCCUGACUCCCUUCCCUCGCUCCGGACCAUCACCCCAACACUCCCAACUCUCUGCUCCCCCACCCCGUCCCUGGCGCCCCUGGCUGUCCUCUCCGCACCCAGGCCUCUCCCCACAAUCCCUGGACUGUCCCCUUUCUCCACAGGCUGUCCGCCUCACUCUGGCUGUACCUCCAUCCUGGACUCUCCUCUUGAGCACCUGGGCCUCCUUAUGUGCCCCCCCCAGCAUCUGUCCUUCUCUGUCCCAUGGCCUGGCCGGCAGCAGGUGCUCAGUGACAGCUUGUCAAAGGGCUAGAUUCCCCGUUCUCCCUGGGAAGAUGCUUGGAGGAGCAGGAACCAGGGCAGAGGAAGCCUCACCCACAGGGACAUCCUGCGGUGGGGACACAGUCACUGGGCAUCAGACAGGUGACAGCUUCAGGCCAGCUGACCUCAGCCACUCCAGGGUCAGCCGGGUCUGCUCUCCCAUCCACAGCCAGGGGGAAUCAGCCCUUCCCAACUCUCAGAGGAAGCCUCUCCAAUACUCCUGUCACCCCAGGUCCCCUCCUGCCACCUGGCCUCUCCAGCUCAGGAAGGCUCAGGUAGGACUUUCAGUUGCCAUCAACAGAAAAGUUUGAGGUGAAAACAAAUUAAUCAAUAGAUACUGGGUAGCUCCAGAGCAUUGCCAGGAAAAACGGAGGACCGGUGAGACCUUGCAUCUGGGAAUGCCCCCAAUCACAGUGGCCUCCUCCUGAACCCCUGAGCCCCUCUCUCCUGCCUUCCCCCGCAGUCGAGACCAGCGGCUUCAGGAGGCUGUGUCGUGGUUAUGGUCAACAAGGUAAAAACCAGUCGGCUCCUACGAAAGGAGUUGCUUCCUCCUGGGGUGAGUCCAGGAGGCCCAGGAGCCGUCUUCUGACACCUUCGUGGGAGGCACUGACUGAAAACAGACCAAGAAGACAAAAGAGCUUAGGACAGGGGUGUCUUCAAAGAGCUGCUACUCAACCCAGGGCUGCUUUCUCCAGAGUUCUCGAUGUGUGAGUCGUGUGGACCCCGGUUGGGACUUCUCCUGGUCGAAACUGAGCUUCUUCCCACCCGACGGGGAACAUCUUGAUAGUCCCAGGCCACCGGAUCCCCACAGCGUCACCUAGGUGGGAGGACGCCCACCACAUCUGGAAGAACAGCUGCAGUUGGAAUCACGUCUUUCAAUCUGAGAUAACCGGCCGGCCGUCAAUCACCAGCCCUCCCCUGGCUCCUGCACAGAAGAGACACGGGAGAGAAAUCGGAAUCACAGAGGGGCCUCCUUCCCGCAUCUACCGGGUCUGGGAGGGUGACGCCCAUCUCUGGGCACCCCUGGGGUGACGCUUUGCCUUGGCUCACCACUUUAGCAGGGAGGCGGGACCAGGGCAUUUCCACUUAGCCCUCUCUUCUCCCCGUCCAUGCGUUCGUGUGGCAAUAAGUACCAAGUGCCAGCUGUAUACGAGGCGCUGGCAGGGUACUUGGAAAGCGGCAGUAGACAAAACAGACAACAACUGCCCUUGCAAGGGACGGCAGCCGUGGACAGCCAACAAAGAACUAAUGGGACAUGUGGCACACAGGAGAGUGGCGAGUGCUCGGGAGGGAAAUAAAGUCAGCGAGGCAGGAACAGGGGUGCCGGGUGCUGUGG